rnacentral:rRNA from 1 species
CCUAGCUUGCUAGGUGUCCUUAGUGGCGCACGGGUGAGUAACACGUGGGAACUUACCUCAGAGUACGGAAUAACUAUGGGAAACUAUAGCUAAUACCGUAUAUUCCGGAAACGGGAAAGAUUUAUCGCUCUGAGAUAGGCCCGCGCAAGAUUAGUUUGUUGGUGAGGUAAUGGCUCACCAAGGCUACGAUCUUUAGCUGGUUUGAGAGGAUGAUCAGCCACACUGGGACUGAGACACGGCCCAGACUCCUACGGGAGGCAGCAGUAGGGAAUAUUGGACAAUGGGGGAAACCCUGAUCCAGCAAUGCAGCGUGAGUGACGAAGGCCUUAGGGUUGUAAAACUCUUUCAUCUGUGAGGAUAAUGACAGUAGCAGAAGAAGAAGGACCGGCUAAUUCCGUGCCAGCAGCCGCGGUAAUACGGAAGGUCCUAGCGUUGUUCGGAAUUACUGGGCGUAAAGAGUAUGUAGGCGGAACAGAAAGUUAGAAGUGAAAUCCCUGGGCUCAACCUAGGAAUUGCUUUUAAAACUUCUGUUCUUGAAUUC